rnacentral:rRNA from 1 species
AAUAAGCAUCGGCUAACUCCCGUGCCAGCAGCCGCGGUAAUACGGAGGAUGCAAGCGUUAUCCCGGAUUUAUUGGGUUUAAAGGGUGCGUAGGUGGUUCUGUAAGUCAGCGGUGAAAUUUUUCCGCUUAACGGGAAAAUUGCCGUUGAAACUGCAAGACUUGAGAGCGGACAAGGUAUGCGGAAUUCGUAGUGUAGCGGUGAAAUGCAUAGAUAUUACGAAGAACCCCGAUAGCGUAGGCAGCAUACCGGGGCGCGUCUGACACUGAAGCACGAAAGUGUGGGUAUCAAACAGGAUUAGAUACCCUGGUAGUCCACACAGUAAACGAUGAAUACUGACUGUUUGCGAUACACAGUAAGCGGUUCAGCGAAAGCGUUAAGUAUUCCACCUGGGGAGUACGCCGGCAACGGUGAAACUCAAAGGAAUUGACGGGGGCCCGCACAAGCGGAGGAACAUGUGGUUUAAUUCGAUGAUACGCGAGGAACCUUACCCGGGCUCGAACGGCGGAUGAAUACAGGUGAAAGCUUGUAGUCGCAAGACAUCUGUCGAGGUGCUGCAUGGUUGUCGUCAGCUCGUGCCGUGAGGUGUCGGCUUAAGUGCCAUAACGAGCGCAACCCUUACCGUUAGUUACCAUCAGGUAAAGCUGGGGACUCUAGCGGGACUGCCACCGUAAGGUGCGAGGAAGGUGGGGAUGACGUCAAAUCAGCACGGCCCUUACGUCCGGGGCGACACACGUGUUACAAUGGGGGGGACAGAAGGCAGCUACUCGGCGACGAGAUGCCAAUCCCUAAACCCUCUCCCGGUUCGGAUCGGAGUCUGCAACCCGACUCCGUGAAGCCGGAUUCGCUAGUAAUCGCGCAUCAGCCAUGGCGCGGUGAAUACGUUCCCGGGCCUUGUACACACCGCCCGUCAAGCCAUGGGAGCCGGGGGUACCUGAAGUACGUAACCGCGAGGAGCGUCCUAGGGUAAAACUGGUGACCGGGGCU